rnacentral:tRNA from 535 species
GCGGCUGUAGCUCAGCUGGAUAGAGUACUUGGCUACGAACCAAGGGGUCGUGGGUUCGAUUCCUGCCAGCCGCACCA